CCAUCCGGCAUCCUAGGCGGGUCACUGCGGGACCUCCCUCGUGUCUGUGGUGGUGGGAUCCCGUGGCCGUGUUUUCCUGGUGGCCCGGCC
rfam:Homo sapiens chromosome 22, GRCh38 reference primary assembly.